rnacentral:tRNA from 1 species
ACGCUACGGACUGGGUUCAAGUCCCUCUACCCCCAAAAUUAUAAUUUUUUAUUGACAAAAACUGAAAGUUUAUGU